GACGAACGCUGGCGGCGUGCUUAACGCAUGCAAGUCGAACGGAAAGACCCUGCUCUUGUGGCGUUCUCGAUUGGCGAACGCGUGAGUAUCACGUGUGUAUCCUCUCCCUGACUUUGUGAUAACUUUUGGAAAAAGGGGCUAAUAUACCAUAGGAUCUCCUGCUGCAUGGUGGGCGAUGGAGAGUUUCGGCCGUUGGGGAUGGACUAGCGGCUUAUCCACUUGUUUGUGGGGUAGGGGCUUACAAAGGCUAUGAAGGGUAGCCGGCCUGAGAGGGUGACCGGCCACAAUGGGACUGCGGUACGGAGCAGACUGCUACGGGACGCAGUAGGGGAGAAUAUUGCACAAUGGGCCGACGCGUGAUGCGGCGGCCUCGCGUGCGGGAUGACCUCUUUCUGGUUGUGAACCGCUGUCGACGUAGCCGAAGCGGGAGUGACGGUAAUGGGUAAAGAAGCACCGGCUAACUACGUG
rnacentral:rRNA from 1 species